rnacentral:rRNA from 1 species
GCCCUUAGAGUUUGAUCCUGGCUCAGAACGAACGCUGGCGGCAGGCUUAACACAUGCAAGUCGAGCGAAGCCUUCGGGCUUAGCGGCGGACGGGUGAGUAACGCGUGGGAACGUGCCCCUUGGUACGGAAUAGUCCCUGGAAACGGGGUUUAAUACCGUAUGAGCUCUUCGGAGGAAAGAUUUAUCGCCAAGGGAUCGGCCCGCGUUGGAUUAGGUAGUUGGUGGGGUAAUGGCCUACCAAGCCGACGAUCCAUAGCUGUUUUGAGAGGAUGAUCAGCCACACUGGGACUGAGACACGGCCCAGACUCCUACGGGAGGCAGCAGUGGGGAAUCUUAGACAAUGGGGGAAACCCUGAUCUAGCCAUGCCGCGUGAUCGAUGAAGGCCUUAGGGUUGUAAAGAUCUUUCGCUGGGGAAGAUAAUGACGGUACCC